UCGGGCAACCGAGUUGUAAUUUGGAGACGGGACACUAGAGAGGAGGAAGGCGAUUAAGUGCCUUGGAACAGGCUGCCGUAGAGGGUGAGAGCCCCGUGAAUCGCUGGAGACCGAUCAAUUAGUGCCCGCCGAAGAGUCGAGUUGUUUGGGAAUGCAGCUCUAAGUGGGUGGUAUAUUCCAUCUAAGGCUAAAUAUUAGCGAGAGACCGAUAGCAAACAAGUACAGUGAUGGAAAGAUGAAAAGAACUUUGGAAAGAGAGUGAAAUAGUACGUGAAAUUGUUGAAAGGGAAGGGUAUUUGAUCCGACAUGGUGUUUAGCAGCGGCCCGUUCCUCGUGGAUGGGUGCACCUGGUUUACACUGGGCCAGCAUCGGUUCUGGGAGCCAUAUACGGGGUUCGUGAAUGUGGCCCUUCGAUUCUGUCGGAGGGUGUUAUAGCGCGGACAUC
rnacentral:rRNA from 1 species